UACGAAGGACCCGAGCGUUAUCCGGAUUUAUUGGGUUUAAAGGGCGCGUAGGCGGCCGGGUUGGUCGUGGGUGAAAUCCCCCAGCUUAACUGGGGAACUGCCUACGAUACUGCCUGGCUCGAGGGAGGAAGGGGCGGUCGGAACUGUCGGUGGAGCGGUGAAAUGCGUUGAUAUCGACAGGAACGCCGGUGGCGAAAGCGGACCGCUGGCCCUCUUCUGACGCUGAGGCGCGAAAGCCAGGGGAGCGAACGGG
rnacentral:rRNA from 1 species